rnacentral:lncRNA from 1 species
CUCAUUCCUAUGGUUUGAUUCUUUUUCUUCAAAAUCCCAGAUCAGCCAGAAUUGGGGAUUAGAAUCAUAGCUGUGAAACUACAGGUGGCAUCUCAUGCAUUCAAAAAGGUUUGGGACACUGCUGGACAGUGCUCUGCGUCGCCGGCUCGCGACAAGAGGUAAGAAAAGGAAUUAAUAUAUUUUUUCUGCAUGUAUCAACUUCACGUAAGGAAUGCAAAUAUAUAGUGCAAACAUGUACUAAUAAGAAAGG